UACGUAGGGCGCGAGCGUUGUCCGGAAUCAUUGGGCGUAAAGAGCUCGUAGGCGGCCGGUUGCGUCUGCUGUGAAAUCCCGGGGCUUAACCCCGGGCGUGCAGUGGAUACGGGCCGGCUGGAGGCAGGCAGGGGAGAAUGGAAUUCCCGGUGUAGCGGUGAAAUGCGCAGAUAUCGGGAGGAACACCGGUGGCGAAGGCGGUUCUCUGGGCCGUGUACUGACGCUGAGGAGCGAAAGCGUGGGGAGCGAACAGG
rnacentral:rRNA from 1 species